UAGAUAAUGAACGUAAAAUGAUAAAAUUAAAGGGGGCAAACAUAAGGUAAAUGCAUAGCCUUAGCAAACCAGGAUUAAAGUAUUCGGAGCCUAAAAGAUCUCCCUCACCGUCUAUUACAAAUAUAACGAGCCAAACAUGCUAAUUCAUAGAUUCAACAAAAUUUGGCUCCUUAUCUUAUUAGGGAAAUGUAUUAC